rnacentral:rRNA from 1 species
UGGGGAAUAUUGGACAAUGGGCGCAAGCCUGAUCCAGCCAUGCCGCGUGAGUGACGAAGGCCUUAGGGUUGUAAAGCUCUUUUUGGCGGGGAAGAUAAUGACGGUACCCGCAGAAUAAGCUCCGGCUAACUUCGUGCCAGCAGCCGCGGUAAUACGAAGGGAGCUAGCGUUGUUCGGAAUCACUGGGCGUAAAGCGCACGUAGGCGGAUGUGUCAGUCAGGGGUGAAAUCCCGGAGCUCAACUUCGGAACUGCCCUUGAUACAGCACGUCUUGAGUCCGAUAGAGGUGGGUGGAAUUCCUAGUGUAGAGGUGAAAUUCGUAGAUAUUAGGAAGAACACCGGUGGCGAAGGCGGCCCACUGGAUCGGUACUGACGCUGAGGUGCGAAAGCGUGGGGAGCAAACAGGAUUAGAUACCCAAGUAGUCCCUGAGCGGGCUGGCAAGGCGCAU